CCUUCGAUAGCUCAGUUGGCAGAGCGGUGGACUGUAGUAUGAUACAAUAUAGACAUCCAUAGGUCACUGGUUCGACUCCGGUUCGAAGGA
rnacentral:tRNA from 1 species